rnacentral:lncRNA from 1 species
GUCCUGACGCUCCGCAGGGACCCCUGACUGGACGGCGGCGCGUGAGCGGAGCGAGAGGCCUCGCCGCGGGGGGGCCGCGGGCUCGCCGGCGCCGCUUACCUGGGGCCGCGCCGGGCCUGCUUAGGCACCCGGCGGGGGCGGCGGCGUCGGGAGCUGCGGCGGCGGCGGGCGGCGGCGGCGGCCGCGGGCUUCGCUCCUUGUUGGGGAUUCGGCGGCGGCGGCGGCGCGGGCGCGCGCUUCCUAGUGACGCAGGCGGCGGGGCCGCGCACGCACGGGGCUGGGAGGGCCGGACACUUAUUUGGCGCUCGCGGAGGAGGAAGGCGGGGCCGUGAAAUAAGGCCCGACGGGCCCCGGGGCGCGUGCGCGGACCGACACUGUCAGCUCCUAACGCCGCAGGUUCCUCCUGGUCCCCGAGGCCCCCGGUCGGGCGUUGCCUGCCCCGCGCGGGCGGCCGGGCCGAGGGACGAUGGUCAGUGGACGGACGGCGCCAGGGAGCAGUGCCCACGCGCGGCAGGGCGGUACCUUCAGGCCUCCAGGUACGGGCGCUCCUCGCCCGGACGCUGCUGUGUGUGAAUGGGCGCGAGGGGACUCCCCUGCGGGGCGGACGCCUGAACACGAGGCUGUGGAGGAGGACGCUGUAGGGUGCGCGGACUCACGCGGAACAUGCCAGAGGCUCAGCCAGCCACGGCGCUCCCAGCGUGGAGGGCGAGGGGCAUCCGGGAGCGGCCGGGAGGGCUCGGUCACCCCUCAAGCUGUCACCCCAGUCCCACAACCAGCACCCCGAUCCUAUCGCAGUCCCACAGCCGACACCCCGAUCCCACCCCUGCCCAACAGCCGGCACCCACCCCAAUCCCAUAGCUAACACCCCGGUCCCACCGCUGUCCCACGGCCGGCACCCCGAUCCCACCCCAGUCCCGCAGCUGGCACCCCGAUCCCACCCCAGCCCAACAGCUGGCACCCACCCCGAUCCCACCGCUGUCCCACAGCCGGCACCCCGAUCCCACCCCAGUCCCGCAGCCGGCACCCCGAUCCCACAGCCGGCACUCACCCCGAUCGCAUAGCAUAGCUGAUACCCCGAUCCCACCCCAGUCCCAUAGCCAGCACCCCGAUCCCACCCCAGUCCCAUAGCCAGCACCUCGAUCCCAUAGAUGACACCCCGAUCCCGCCCCAGUCCUAUAGCCCGCACCCCGAUCCCACCCGAGUCCCGCAGCCGGCACCCCAUCCCACCCAUGUCCCACAGUCGGCACCCCGAUCCCACUCGGAUCCGGCAGCCAGCUUGGAUCCUGUGGCCCUCCUCCAGCCCCCAGGGCUCAUUUAUAUGUUUUAUUGGCAGAGGCUGGGGCUGGCUCUGUUGGCCUCUGUGCUGGGUUUCUUCCUCUGCACCGCAGGACUGGCUCUCCUGACCUCUCCAGGUGUCAUCGAACACCCUUGUGCUUGCUGUCACCCGCUGCCUGUCUGCAGGAUCCCGGAUUCCGUAUCAGGGGACCGAAAUUAGUCGGAAAAUAGGAAGCAGGUGCUCGCUUGGAUGGAACCCUGACCCUGUGCUCACACUUGUAGGAGGAGGGCUCUGCAGGCCGCCUCCCGGAACGGGAGGUUCCCAAGCCACUGCACUUCGGAGGGGCUGUAAUUAGAGUUGCACAUUCAUUCAGUUCCCAGUAAAGUAGAACGUGCUC